UGCCAGCCGCCGCGGUAAUACGGAAGGUGCAAGCGUUAAUCGGAAUCACUGGGCGUAAAGCGCGCGUAGGCGGUUAGAUAAGUUGGGUGUGAAAGCCCCGGGCUCAACCUGGGAACUGCAUUCGAUACUGUCUGACUAGAGUGUGAUAGAGGGAGGCGGAAUUCCGCAUGUAGCGGUGAAAUGCGUAGAGAUGCGGAGGAACACCAAUGGCGAAGGCAGCCUCCUGGAUUAACACUGACGCUGAGGCGCGAAAGCGUGGGGAGCAAACAGGAUUAGAUA
rnacentral:rRNA from 1 species